rnacentral:lncRNA from 1 species
GUACCAUGCACCUUUGAGGGACCAAGGACCCAAGACUUGAGGUAGACACUAUUCCCAGCUGGACACUCUCAAUGUUGAGGAUAUAGAUGCACAAACCAAUGCAGGGAGGCCUCCAGGAGCCACUGGAGAAGAAAUCUUCAGAUCCUACCAGGCCCAUAGCUGUUGCCUUUGUGGGCUCCUGGGUUAAUUUCCACACAUCAGUGGCCCACCUUAUGAUAUCCUUCCUGCAUGCCACACUCCCGGCCAUGCUCUGUGGACAGCCAUUAUUUCCAGUAAUUGCUAAUGGGAGCCAGUCUCCAAAGAGUAAUGAAUCAGAGGUGUUCCUUGGAAUGUGUUACACUAGGACUUCGCCGAUCUCACAGGCUCCUUUCCAGAUGAGCUGACUGUAAUCUCCAGGAAGCUGGAUCUGGAGGAACAAUGGGAUGGGAUUUGCGGUGACCCUUCCUGCCCUUCUUGAGCAGCUUGUGAACCAGAAGAUGUGCCUGGAGAGAAAGCAUCAUUUGGGGAAGUGCAGUAGUCGAAGUUCUUUAUUUUGAAAAUGGAGAACAACCCUUCUCACAAUCCUGUCUCCCCUUCCCCCUUUCCAACUAGAAUAUCAGCUCCCCUGAACAUGAGUCAGUCACAUUUCAGGGAAAACUGGCUGAUGUUGAAGAAAUCACUAGAGGGCAAACUUUGUCCUUCAAGCUGUGGGUCUCUGAACUGUAAAGCCAGCAGAUCCCCCAGUGUAGGGACUGGGCCUUCCUUGCCCAUUGAAUGCUUUCUAUACAUGAAGACUUGGAGCUCUUUACAGAUGACAGUAGCCAGUGAGGAAGAUAAAAGAAGAGGAAAGACCCAAAAUGCGGGUUUGCCACUCUUUUUUGCCAGCACCGUGGGGACAGUCACUCUGCCUUCUUUCCACCACCUCCAACUUCACACUCACACCCACAGUCUGGUCCCACAGAGCCUGUUUGGUACUUGCCUGACAGCCCACCUUGAAACCAGAUGGUCAUGAACCUGUCACCAAGUCAUCUGAAGAUCUUCCACUGCAACCUGUAUGGCAUCUGCCACAGGGACCAUGGGACAUGAUUGAAGAACCACUCCAGUGCAGUUGAUGAAGGGGUGGGUCGGCACUGAAGUUAGGUGCACCAGGGCCUGGGCCAAGGGUGGGCUGGGUCCAUCUUGUGUGUGGUGGUCUUCUUCAGAGUAGCAGCUGAUUCAGAGGGAUUCCAUAGAACUGCACAGGCUAGGUCUAGUCAGAUAUCUUGGACAUUUUCUACUUCUAGAUUAGAGAAUAUAGCAUACGCUGAUUUUAAUAUAACUGUGUAUGUGACUUUUUCAAUGAGAAAAAUUUUAAGUGAUGUUCUAAACAAUUUUUGGCAUGUAGACAGAAUAGUCAAAUAUCUGUUUAACUAGCAACAUAGUUACUCGUGCAUAUUUAAAAUACUACAUGAGUAUGGCCUGGCACAGUGGCUCAUGCCUGUAAUCCUAGCAGUCUGGGAGGCCGAGGUGAGCAUAUUGCCUGAGCUCAGUUUGAGACCACUUUGGACAACAUGGUGAAACCCUGACUCUACAAAAAUACAAAAAUGUAGCCAGGUGUGGUGGUGCGUGCCUGUAGUCCCAGCUACUUGGGAAGCUGAGGUGCAAGAAUUGCCUGAACCUGAGAGGCAGAGGUUGCAGUGACCUGAGAUUGUGUCACUGCACUCCAGCCUAGGUGACAGAGCAAGACUACAUCUCAAAAAAUAAAACAAAAUAAAAUAGGCCCUGUGCCGUGGCUCAUGCCUGUAAUUCCAGCAUUUUGGGCAGCUGAGGCGGGCAGACCACCUGAGGUCAGGAGUUCAAGACCAGCCUGACCGACAUGGUGAAACCCCAUCUAUACUAAAUACAAAAAAUUAGCCAGGUAUGGUGAUGCAUGCCUGUAGUCCAAGCUACUUGGGAGGCUGAGGCAGGAGAGAAUGGCUUCAACCUGGGAGGCAGAGGUUGCAGUGAGCCGAGAUUGCGCCACUGCACUCCAGCCUGGGUGAUAGAGCAAGACUUCGUCUCAAACAAUAAAAUAAAAUAAUAAAAU